rnacentral:rRNA from 1 species
AAUUCCAGGUGUAGCGGUGAAAUGCGUAGAGAUCUGGAGGAAUACCGGUGGCGAAGGCGGCCCCCUGGACAAAGACUGACGCUCAGGUGCGAAAGCGUGGGGAGCAAACAGGAUUAGAUACCCUGGUAGUCCACGCUGUAAACGAUGUCGACUUGGAGGUUGUUCCCUUGAGGAGUGGCUUCCGGAGCUAACGCGUUAAGUCGACCGCCUGGGGAGUACGGCCGCAAGGUUAAAACUCAAAUGAAUUGACGGGGGCCCGCACAAGCGGUGGAGCAUGUGGUUUAAUUCGAUGCAACGCGAAGAACCUUACCUACUCUUGACAUCCAGAGAACUUAGCAGAGAUGCUUUGGUGCCUUCGGGAACUCUGAGACAGGUGCUGCAUGGCUGUCGUCAGCUCGUGUUGUGAAAUGUUGGGUUAAGUCCCGCAACGAGCGCAAC